UUUGAAUUCUGUGAAUAGGAAAGGAAAAUCAGUUCUGUUUUUCAGAUUUUGAUUGUAAAUGGCAAGGAAGGAAAAA